UGGGAAAAUGGGAUUUGGGUUGCUGGGACUGGGAUUUGGCCACUGGGAAUGGGAAAUGAAGUCCUCAAAAAUGGGAAUGGGAUUGAGGUAAUGCGAGUCGAUUCCCAAUUUUUCUACGUUUUAAUAUUUUAAAAUACAAUUUUGGUCCGUUUUUGGUGUCUUUGGUUAUGAUUUUUGUUGUUAACUAUAUUAUUCACAGCACUACCUGCGAACAAGAAUACUCUGGCGCCCGGAAUUCUGGGUUUUCUGAUUAUGCGUGUCUCAGAAUGCUGCAAAUGCCAUU
rnacentral:lncRNA from 1 species